rnacentral:rRNA from 1 species
UACGUAGGGUGCGAGCGUUGUCCGGAAUUACUGGGCGUAAAGAGCUCGUAGGUGGUUUGUCGCGUUGUUCGUGAAAACUCACAACUCAAUUGUGGGCGUGCGGGCGAUACGGGCAGACUGGAGUACUGCAGGGGAGACUGGAAUUCCUGGUGUAGCGGUGGAAUGCGCAGAUAUCAGGAGGAACACCGGUGGCGAAGGCGGGUCUCUGGGCAGUAACUGACACUGAGGAGCGAAAGCGUGGGGAGCGAACAGG